AGAGUUGUAUCCUGGCUCAGAUUGAACGCUGGCGGCAUGCCUUACACAUGCAAGUCGAACAGCAGCGCGGGGCAACCUGGCGGCGAGUGGCGAACGGGUGAGUAAUAUAUCGGAACGUACCCUGGAGUGGGGGAUAACGUAGCGAAAGUUACGCUAAUACCGCAUACGAUCUAAGGAUGAAAGUGGGGGAUCGCAAGACCUCAUGCUCCUGGAGCGGCCGAUAUCUGAUUAGCUAGUUGGUAGGGUAAAAGCCUACCAAGGCUACGAUCAGUAGGGGGCGUGAGAGCGUGGCCCCCCACACGGGUACUGAGACACGGACCCGACUCCUACGGGAGGCAGCAGUAAGGAAUAUUGGGCAAUGGACGCAGGUCUGACCCAGCCAUCCCGCGUGCAGGACGAAUGCCCUAUGGGUUGUAAACUGCUUUUGUUUGGGAAGAAAUGUAUUCUUUUAAGAGUAUUUGACGGUACCAGACGAAUAAGCACCGGCUAACUCCGUGCCAGCAGCCGCGGUAAUACGGAGGGUGCAAGCGUUAUCCGGAAUCACUGGGUUUAAAGGGUGCGUAGGCGGCCAAAUAAGUCGGAGGUGAAAGUUUCCGGCUCAACCGGGAGAUUGCCUUUGAUACUGUUUGGCUUGAAUCAGAUUGAGGUUGGCGGAAUGUGACAUGUAGCGGUGAAAUGCAUAGAUAUGUCAU
rnacentral:rRNA from 1 species